rnacentral:lncRNA from 10 species
GACAGUUGCUUUGAGGCAGUACCGGAGGAGAAAGAUGGCGGCUACCUUACUAGCUGCUCGGGGAGCCGGGCCAGCACCGGCUUGGGGGCCGGAGGCGUUCACUCCAGACUGGGAAAGCCGAGAAGUUUCCACUGGGACCACUAUCAUGGCCGUGCAGUUUGACGGGGGCGUGGUUCUGGGGGCGGACUCCAGAACAACCACUGGGUGAGCUCAGGACAGAUUUGUGAAAGGUCUUCCCAUCUUCCUUUUCCUUUCCUGCCUGCCAGCCCACCCUGCCUGCCUCCACAGACCACUGUGGGAAGAGAGGUUUCUUCUCUCUCUGGAGAUAAAGAUUUGUCCCAACUUUUGUUACUUUCAGUUCCCCUCACUCGUUAGUGGAAUCCUUACAAAAGUCUGUUCUCCAGCCCGCUUCAGUUUGGAUGAGAAUAAGCAAUACUGGAGGCCAGGCACGGUGGCUCACGCCUGUAAUCCCAGUACUUUGGGAGGCCGAGGCGGGUGGAUCACCUGAGGUCAGGAGUUCGAGACCAGCCUGGCCAACAUGGCGAAACCCCGUCUCUACUAAAAAAUACAAAAAUUAGCCGUG